GGCAGCUUGGAGGUGCUGUAAACAUCCUUGACUGGAAGCUGCAUUCUGACCCUUUAAGGCUUUCAGUCGGAUGUUUGCAGCUUCUUGUUGC
rnacentral:pre_miRNA from 10 species